UUGUUUUCAUUCACAGCUUAAGAUGCUGUCUUGUUUCUUUUUCUUUUUCUUUAACUAGAUUGACCAUGUAUGCAGUUGUGACCUUGCAAAAUUCAGAAGAGGUGAUGGUGACAGCAUCAAACUGGUUGAGCAUAGACAAGAAACAAUGUUACUGGCCUCCAUUCAAAUCAACAGAGAAGUAUAUGAAAGCUGUUCAGAACAGAGAUGAGCCUGCAAUAGGAUGGGAAAAAUUAAAUAUUAGCUUUCAUGGAGAACAUGGUAAGAGCUACAAUUUCAAAAUUACAUUAAAAUGAAAUGUAGGAAUAUUUAUUGUUUAUUCACAUCUCAAAUAUUUAUCUUAUUGCAGCCACUUUUGAUCAGGCUAAGGAGCAUCAAAAACAAGUUAAAGAACAGAAUAGGCCAUUUCAAUUAGCCACUGAAUUUCCUGGAACAGCAAAAAGACAGAAACUUGAGUACACUCAAGGACUGUCAGAUAAUCAGUUUCACCUGCCUUCUAUACCAAUUGCUUCCAGAAUGUCAUCUGAUGGUGAGUCAACAUAUUUGGUCAUAUAAUCAAAUAAAUGAAAACCUGUUGCUUGCUCUUUUUUGUACUUGCAAUUCAUUUUACACAACAGACAAGGAUGAGCUCCUCCAAAUGCUGAGAGACAUUAAGAGCACGGUUCAGGAAAACUCUGCUAUGUUAAAGAAACUACUCAAAGACAAUAUGGUUUCUGAGGUCCCCAGCAGUACCAGCCGGCCCUCUAAAGAUGUUAAAACAAACCAAAAACUGCCUCUUAGAACCUUUGAUGAUGUGUCCUGGACUGAAAGAGAGCUCAAUAAUGUAAAAACACGCCAAAAAUAUGUGAAGUAUCUGUCAGGACUUGGAGGUUUUGGGCAAAAGGAUGUAAUUAAGUACAUAAUGCAACAUGUCAUAACAGAUGAUCUGGCUAAGGAGUUCAACUGGCAGGGGAGAGGAGAUAAAAGACCCUUCUCUAAGCUUAUUUUAGCAGAUGUGAUCAGAGAUGCUGCUCAGAAGCACAAAAUUAACUGGGUAGACUGUGAAACUGAAAUAAAAAAAUAUUUACAAAAAAUGAGUUACAAGGCUGAUCGACUUGGUCGGAAGAGACCAAGAGAGUAUGAAGGUUCUCAAAAUGAAAUCCUAAAUGUGACAUCUCACACAGCCCUUGACAGCACCAUCCAGUCAGUCACUGAAAGUCAUCCUUUUUUUGUGUGACAGAGUUUUGAAUCAUUUACUUAUAGGCCAUACAGUAUGUAGGCCUAAGUGCAAAAACAUCAACAUUUAUUUUGUGGAGAACUAUAUAUGUACUAAUCUAGCAUAUAAUUCCAUUUGCCACUGGGUAUUGUGUCUAUAUAAAUAUGAUUAUUAUUAUUUUUUUAAAUUUUUAGGAUGCCAAGAAAUCAUGAAAUAUUGGAGAAUGCGUUUGAUGUAUUAUUUCUGCAUGAUUGGGCAUGUUUUCAGGUGUUUAACAGUAGUCACCUUAGCAUGUUUGUCUGAUUGUCUGAUUUCCUCAAUAUUCAAACAACACUUUUUCUAAACGUGUAAAUAGCUUUGAUUCUACAUAGGCUGUCUUUUCAGUUUCUCAAAGAUAUGAUGAUUUCUUUAAAAUAAACCAGAAUUUAAUAUAAUUUCUCCUAUUUGU
ensembl:lncRNA